AUUAAUGGUUGUCUUGCACUACAAGGGUCUUCACUUGCAAGUUUUAACACAGCAUACACCCAUGUGUAGUGGAAGGCAGUAUCGGCAUGGGAAAGAAACCCAGGGCCACACACCAUAAAUGAUUGAGCACAUGACAACUGAUGCAUUUAUCAAGGCAUUGUGACAUUCAUUGUCAUAAAAGGAAAUUUCGAACUGUUAACAUUGUGACCAAGGUACCAAUUUUAUUGGUGGAAGAAUGAGUUUGCCGAUCUCAUGAAGGGACUGAAGCAAAAAACCAUUAAGGCUCUUGAAUGUGAACUCCUUAUGAGCCCACCAGCAGAGAGUCACAUGGACAUUGUCUAGGAGAGACAGAUUUUUCAUAGUCUUGCCACAGCUGUUCUCGACCACUCUGCACAAAGGCUUGA